rnacentral:rRNA from 1 species
AGUGGCGAACGGGUGAGUAAUAUAUCGGAACGUGCCCUAGAGUGGGGGAUAACGUAGCGAAAGUUACGCUAAUACCGCAUACGAUCUACGGAUGAAAGUGGGGGAUCGCAAGACCUCAUGCUCCUGGAGCGGCCGAUAUCUGAUUAGCUAGUUGGUGGGGUAAAGGCCUACCAAGGCGACGAUCAGUAGCUGGUCUGAGAGGACGACCAGCCACACUGGGACUGAGACACGGCCCAGACUCCUACGGGAGGCAGCAGUGGGGAAUUUUGGACAAUGGGGGCAACCCUGAUCCAGCAAUGCCGCGUGAGUGAAGAAGGCCUUCGGGUUGUAAAGCUCUUUUGUCAGGGAAGAAAUCCUCUGGGCUAAUACCUCGGGGGGAUGACGGUA